rnacentral:rRNA from 1 species
UACGAAGGGGGGCUAGCGUUGCUCGGAAUGACUGGGCGUAAAGGGCGCGUAGGCGGUGUACACAGUCAGGCGUGAAAUUCCCGGGCUUAACCUGGGAACUGCAUUUGUGACUGCAUCGCUGGAGUGCGGCAGAGGGGGAUGGAAUUCCGCGUGUAGCAGUGAAAUGCGUAGAUAUGGGGGAGGAACACCGGUGGCGAAGGCGGGCCACCUGGACGGUCACUGAGCUGAGACGCGAAAGCGUGGGGGAGCAAACAGG